rnacentral:rRNA from 1 species
CAAUAGCGUAUAUUAAAGCUGUUGCGGCUAAAAAGCUCGUAGUUGGAUUUCUGUCAAGGACAACUGGUCCGCCCCUCGGGUGAGCACAUAGUUUGGUCUUGGCAUCUUGUUGGAAACUGUUGCUGCACUUGGUUGUGUGGCGCAGUGUCCAGCACUUUCACUUUGAGGAAAUUGGAGUGUUUCAAGCAGGCACAUGCCUUUGGACACAGUAGCAUGGAAUAAUUAGAUUGGGCUUUUGCUCCAACUUGUCGGUUUCUGGAGCUGAGGUGAGAAUUAAUGGGGAUUGUUGGGGGCAUCCGAAUUUAGCCGUCAGAGGUGAAAUUCUUGGAUCUGCUAAAGACGGACAACUGCGAAAGCGUUUGCCCAGGAUGUUUUCAUCGA